UACGAAGGGGGCUAGCGUUGUUCGGAAUUACUGGGCGUAAAGGGCGCGUAGGCGGCCUUCUAAGUCAGACGUGAAAUCCCCCGGCUUAACCUGGGAACUGCGUCUGAUACUGGGAGGCUUGAGUAUGGGAGAGGGAUGUAGAAUUCCAGGUGUAGCGGUGAAAUGCGUAGAUAUCGGAAGGAACAUCAGUGGCGAAAGCGACUUCCUGGACCAGUACCGACGUUCAGGCACGAAAGCGUGGGGAGCAAACAGG
rnacentral:rRNA from 1 species